rnacentral:tRNA from 1 species
CGGGAAGUAGCGCAGUUGGUUAGCGUACGCGUCUGGGGGGCGCGUGGUCGCCAGUUCGAGUCUGGUCUUCCCGA